ACCUACGGGAGGCAGCAGUGGGGAAUCUUCCACAAUGGGCGAAAGCCUGAUGGAGCAACGCCGCGUGGGUGAAGAAGGUCUUCGGAUCGUAAAACCCUGUUGUUAGAGAAGAAAGUGCGUGAGAGUAACUGUUCACGUUUCGACGGUAUCUAACCAGAAAGCCACGGCUAACUACGUGCCAGCAGCCGCGGUAAUACGUAGGUGGCAAGCGUUAUCCGGAUUUAUUGGGCGUAAAGGGAACGCAGGCGGUCUUUUAAGUCUGAUGUGAAAGCCUUCGGCUUAACCGGAGGAGUGCAUUGGAAACU
rnacentral:rRNA from 1 species